UACGAAGGGGGCUAGCGUUGCUCGGAAUCACUGGGCGUAAAGGGCGCGUAGGCGGCCAUUCAAGUCAGAGGUGAAAGCCCAAGGCUCAACCUUGGAAUUGCCUUUGAUACUGUUUGGCUUGAGACCGGAAGAGGUUAGUGGAACUGCGAGUGUAGAGGUGAAAUUCGUAGAUAUUCGCAAGAACACCAGUGGCGAAGGCGGCUAACUGGUCCGGUUCUGACGCUGAGGCGCGAAGGCCAGGGGAGCAAACGGG
rnacentral:rRNA from 1 species